GGGCACAUGGUGUAGUUGGUUAUCACGCCCGCUUAGCACAAGAGUAUUUGCGUGCUCAAAAUACAUCAUGCGGGUGAUCCUCGGUUCAAUUCCGGGUGCGUCCA